UACGUAGGUGGCAAGCGUUGUCCGGAUUUAUUGGGCUUAAAGGGUGCGUAGGCGGUCCUAUAAAUCAGUGCUGAAAUAUCCCGGCUUAACCGGGAGGGUGGCAUUGAUACUGCAGGACUUGAGUAAAGUUGAGGUUGGCGGAAUUGACGGUGUAGCGGUGAAAUGCUUAGAUAUCGUCAAGAACACCGAUUGCGAAGGCAGCUAACUAAGCUUUAACUGACGCUGAGGCACGAAAGUGUGGGGAUCAAACAGG
rnacentral:rRNA from 1 species